UAGCUCAGUUGGUAGAGCAUCUGACUUUUAAUCAGAGGGUCGCUGGUUCGAACCC
rnacentral:tRNA from 1 species